rnacentral:rRNA from 1 species
AUGAAUGUUGCUGUGCUGGCUGGAGUUUCCCUUCACUGGCUGCUUGCUGGGAAUUUCAAUGGCAUUCUUGAGUUUGAUUUAGCUUCGAUACGGCUGCCAGACGAGGUCAGCUGCUGGAAGCUUAUGCGGGCAGAGGGCGGUGGGCUUGGUUUCCUUGGGAUGUCAGGCUCAAACUGUAACAUCCAGUUAUGGAAGAGGAAGGCCAAUUGUGAUGGUGUUGCUUCAUGGGUGCUUGGAAGGACUAUUGAUCUGGAGAAUAUACUUCCCCUGAAACCAGAGGAGAAAGGGGCCAUUGCGAUACUAGCGCUUGCUGAAGACAAUAAUGUGUUGUUGCUGUGGACAAUUAUCGGCCUCUUCGUGGUCGAUCUUGAGUCAUUAAAGUUCAAGAAGCUUUUCGAAACUAUGAUAGUUUCUCACUAUUAUCCAUUCGAAAGUGUCUACACUGCAGAAACAGACAUUGGUGGUGGACAUGAUGGAGCUGAUCUUUUGCACAAGACAUAA